rnacentral:rRNA from 1 species
UGAUCCUGGCUCAGAACGUACGCUGGCGGCACGCCUAACACAUGCAAGUCGAACGAAGUAGCAAUACUUAGUGGCAGACGGGUGAGUAACAUGUAGGUAUCUGCCCUUUGGCCUGGAAUAACACGAGGAAACUUGUGCUAAUACCGGAUAAGUCUUUACGGAGAAAGCUUUAUGCACCAUUGGAUGAGCCUGCACUUGAUUAGUUUGUUGGUGGGGUAAUGGCCUACCAAGACUGUGAUCAAUAGCUGAUUUGAGAGGAUGAUCAGCCACAUUGGGACUGAGACACGGCCCAAACUCCUACGGGAGGCAGCAGUGGGGAAUCUUGCACAAUGGAGGAAACUCUGAUGCAGCGAUGCCGCGUGAGUGAAGAAGGCCCUUGGGUUGUAAAGCUCUUUCGUCGGGGAAGAAAAUGACUGUACCCGAAUAAGAAGGUCCGGCUAACUUCGUGCCAGCAGCCGCGGUAAUACGAAGGGACCUAGCGUAGUUCGGAAUUACUGGGCUUAAAGAGUUCGUAGGUGGUUGAAAGAGUUAGUGGUGAAAUCCCAGAGCUUAACUCUGGAACUGCCAUUAAAACUUUUCAGCUAGAGUAUGAUAGAGGAAAGCAGAAUUUCUAGUGUAGAGGUGAAAUUCGUAGAUAUUAGAAAGAAUACCAAUUGCGAAGGCAGCUUUCUGGAUCAUUACUGACACUGAGGAACGAAAGCAUGGGUAGCGAAGAGGAUUAGAUACCCUCGUAGUCCAUGCCGUAAACGAUGUGUGUUAGACGUUGGAAAUUUAUUUUCAGUGUCGCAGGGAAACCGAUAAACACACCGCCUGGGGAGUACGACCGCAAGGUUAAAACUCAAAUGAAUUGACGGGGACCCGCACAAGUAGUGGAGCAUGUGGUUUAAUUCGAAGAUACGCGCAGAACCUUACCAACACUUGACAUGUUCGUCGCGACUCUAAGAGAUUAGAGUUUUCGGUUCGGCCGGACGAAACACAGGUGCUGCAUGGCUGUCGUCAGCUCGUGUCGUGAGAUGUUGGGUUAAGUCCCGCAACGAGCGCAACCCUCACUUUUAGUUGCCAUCAUUAAGUUGGGCACUCUGAAAGAACUGCCAGUGAUAAGCGGGAGGAAGGUGGGGAUGACGUCAAGUCCUCAUGGCCCUUACGUGUUGGGCUACACACGUGCUACAAUGGUAUCUACAACAGGAAGCAAGACUGCGAAGUUAAGCAAAUCCCUAAAAGAUACCUCAGUUCGGAUUGCACUCUGCAACUCGAGUGCAUGAAGCUGGAAUUACUAGUAAUCGUGGAUCAGCGUGCCACGGUGAAUGCGUUCCCGGGUCUUGUACACACCGCCCGUCACACCAUGGGAGUUGGUUCUACCUUAAGGCAAGGUUUCAAACCCUUGACCACGGUAUAGUCAGCGACUGGGGUGAAGUCGUAACAAGGUAACC